rnacentral:lncRNA from 1 species
GACGGUUUAAGGGGAUAAGAGAGCUUUCUUGGGACCUUCUUGAAUGCUUGAUAGAUGCUGAUAUCGUCCUUGCCUUGGUAGAAAAAGAGCUGUUGGAGUUUGAAUGCAAGAGACUCCAAAUAAGGCAGUUUGGUGAUAAUGGGGAUCUUCUUAUUCCUAUGUGGGCUGGUGCAUGGGAUGAAGUUGUAGAACUCUUCUGGCUCGUGUAUAAUGUCUCCUGGAUGUCUUG